CUGCGGUGAAUACGUUCCCGGCUCUUGUACACACCCGCCCGUACCAAACCAUAGAAAGUCACCAACACCCGAAGUCCGAUUCGUCGGCCUAAGGUGGGGGGGGAUGAUUGGGGUU
rnacentral:rRNA from 1 species